AGCAGCCGCGGUAAUUCCAGCUCCAAUAGCGUAUAUUAAGGUUGUUGCAGUUAAAAAGCUCGUAGUUGAAUUUCGGGGUUAGUAGGUUGGUCAUGCCUCUGGUAUGUACUGGUCUCACUGAUUCCUCCUUCCUGAUGAGCCGUAAUGCCAUUAAUUUGGUGUUGCGGGGAAUUUGGACUGUUACUUUGAAAAAAUUAGAGUGUUUAAAGCAAGCUAACGCUUGAAUACAUUAGCAUGGAAUAAUGAAAUAGGACGUUCGAUCCUAUUUUGUUGGUUUCUAGGAUUGACGUAAUGAUUAAUAGGGAUAGUUGGGGGCAUUAGUAUUCAAUUGUCAGAGGUGAAAUUCUUGGAUUUAUUGAAGACUAACUACUGCGAAAGCAUUUGCCAAGGAUGUUUUCAUUAAUCAAGAACGAAAGUUAGGGGAUCGAAGACGAUCAGAUACCGUCGUAGUCUUAACCAUAAACUAUGCCGACUAGGGAUCGGAUGAUGUUAAUUUUUUAAUGACUCA
rnacentral:rRNA from 1 species